CACUUCCUGCAGAAAUCCUCCAGCCCUGUUAGAAAUGCCUCAGCCAGGGGGACUCAUCUCCUCAAACCUGGGGGACCGAGACCUAUGAGAGGUCACAGCAUGAGGCCAGGACAUCGGAGGUACCCAGACAUUGUUAUGAAACUCCGCAUGUGCCCCUGGUGGACGCUGCUGGACCCAGCAUGCACACUUCUCGGCUAAGAGUCACCCUGGAUGAACCACCAUUGCCAGCGGGGAGCAUGUUGCAGCUUUCCCACGCAGUGGAUGAGAACGAAGGUUACGACCAUUGUGUGGGAGGCGUCUGUGUAGCAAUUGCUGGAAUCACUGUGUGGCAUUGUAGAAAGACUGAGCGUGGGAAAGAAGACGCAUUCUGAAGUCACCCCGAUUUAUGUUAAAUUAUCACCUUGACUACUGCUAUAGAACGAAUGUUUAUGUCCCCCACCCAAAUUCGUAUGCUAAGACCUAAUAGCCAAUAAGAUAGUAUUAAUAGAUGGGGCCUUUGGGAGGUGAGUGGCUCAUGAGGGCAGAGUCCUCAAAACCAGAUAAGUGCCCGAAUAAAAGGGGCCCCAGAGAGAUCCCUUGCACCGUCUACCAUGUGAAGUGUAGAACACAGCGAGAAGGCCACCUAUGAGCCAGAACGUGGGCCCUCACCAGAACCCAGUUGUGCUGGCACCCUGAUCCUGGACUUCCAGCCUCCAAAAUGACGACAAAGAAGUUUGUUUUUCCUGAGCCAUCCACUUCAAAGUAUUCUGUCAUAGCUCCCCAAAUAGACUAAGACAUCUACUUAACCUUGGUCAAACGUUUAACCUUGGAGUCCACGCCUCUGAAAUGGUGACAAUAACACUGUGUAUUUCCUACUUUAUGAUCAGGAUUAAUAAAUGUAAUUUAUUAAUCAGAAAUUAGUAAUUUCUGAUUAUUAA
rnacentral:lncRNA from 1 species